AAAUUGAAACAACGCAACCGUACUAUCUAUUUACAAUAAUUUGAUUGCUGACAACACGACAACAUCACGCUUCUCUUUCUUAUUCUUAUUUAUAUAACUGUCACUUUACCGGGCCGGAAAAGUGACACCGUCACGUCUCAGGGUCGUAUGCCUGGAACAAGAAGGGUCGUCGUACAAUUUCGGCGAUUACAAAAAAGAAGGAGGCGUUCCCUAUCCCUCUUUGUCUUUCCACUUCCCGAACAAACACUUUGCCAAAUUCUUUUGAGUCCCGGCCCGGUUUUUCCCCACUAA
rnacentral:rRNA from 1 species